rnacentral:rRNA from 1 species
UACGUAGGGGGCAAGCGUUGUUCGGAUUCACUGGGCGUAAAGGGUGCGUAGGCGGUCGGGUAAGUCUGAUGUGAAAUCUCACAGCUUAACUGUGAAACUGCAUUGGAUACUAUUCGGCUAGAGAGUUGGAGGGGGGACUGGAAUUCUUGGUGUAGCAGUGAAAUGCGUAGAUAUCAAGAGGAACACCGGUGGCGAAGGCGGCUUCCUGGACAAAAACUGACGCUGAGGCGCGAAAGCUAGGGGAGCAAACAGG